rnacentral:rRNA from 1 species
GACGAACGCUGGCGGCGUGCCUAAUACAUGCAAGUCGAGCGAACCAAUAAGAAGCUUGCUUUUUGUUGGUUAGCGGCGGACGGGUGAGUAAUACGUGGGUAACCUGCCUGUAAGACCGGGAUAACUCCGGGAAACCGGUGCUAAUACCGGAUAGAUUAUCUUUCCGCAUGGAGAGAUAGGGAAAGAUGGCUAUUGCCAUCACUUACAGAUGGGCCCGCGGCGCAUUAGCUAGUUGGUGAGGUAACGGCUCACCAAGGCGACGAUGCGUAGCCGACCUGAGAGGGUGAUCGGCCACACUGGGACUGAGACACGGCCCAGACUCCUACGGGAGGCAGCAGUAGGGAAUCUUCCGCAAUGGACGAAAGUCUGACGGAGCAACGCCGCGUGAGCGAAGAAGGUCUUCGGAUCGUAAAGCUCUGUUGUUAGGGAAGAGCAAGUAUCGGAGGAAAUGCCGGUACCUUGACGGUACCUGACGAGAAAGCCACGGCUAACUACGUG